AUUGAACGCUGGCGGCAGGCCUAACACAUGCAAGUCGAGCGGAUGAAGGGAGCUUGCUCCUGGAUUCAGCGGCGGACGGGUGAGUAAUGCCUAGGAAUCUGCCUGCUAGUGGGGGAUAACGUCCGGAAACGGGCGCUAAUACCGCAUACGCCCUGAGGGAGAAAGUGGGGGAUCUUCGGACCUCACGCUAUCAGAUGAGCCUAGGUCGGAUUAGCUAGUUGGUGGGGUAAAGGCCUACCAAGGCGACGAUCCGUAACUGGUCUGAGAGGAUGAUCAGUCACACUGGAACUGAGACACGGUCCAGACUCCUACGGGAGGCAGCAGUGGGGAAUAUUGGACAAUGGGCGAAAGCCUGAUCCAGCCAUGCCGCGUGUGUGAAGAAGGUCUUCGGAUUGUAAAGCACUUUAAGUUGGGAGGAAGGGCAGUAAGUUAAUACCUUGCUGUUUUGACGUUACCAACAGAAUAAGCACCGGCUAACUUCGUG
rnacentral:rRNA from 1 species